rnacentral:rRNA from 1 species
UAAGGAAUAUUGGUCAAUGGGCGGAAGCCUGAACCAGCCAUGCCGCGUGCAGGAAGACGGCCCUACGGGUUGUAAACUGCUUUUGCAGGGGAAUAAACCUCCCGACGUAUCGGGAGCUGAAUGUACUCUGAGAAUAAGGAUCGGCUAACUCCGUGCCAGCAGCCGCGGUAAUACGGAGGAUCCAAGCGUUAUCCGGAUUUAUUGGGUUUAAAGGGUGCGUAGGCGGCCUAUUAAGUCAGGGGUGAAAGACGGUAGCUCAACUAUCGCAGUGCCUUUGAUACUGAUGGGCUUGAAUGUACUUGAGGUAGGCGGAAUGUGACAAGUAGCGGUGAAAUGCAUAGAUAUGUCACAGAACACCAAUUGCGAAGGCAGCUUACUAAAGUAUGAUUGACGCUGAGGCACGAAAGCGUGGGGAUCAAACAGGAUUAGAUACCCCCGUAGUCC